rnacentral:rRNA from 1 species
UACGGAGGGUGCAAACGUUGCUCGGAAUCAUUGGGCGUAAAGCGCACGUAGGCGGACCGCUAAGUCGGAUGUGAAAGCCCUCGGCUUAACCGAGGAAGUGCAUUCGAAACUGACGGUCUUGAGUAUGGAAGAGGGUCGCGGAAUUCCCGGUGUAGAGGUGAAAUUCGUAGAUAUCGGGAGGAACACCAGUGGCGAAGGCGGCCCCCUGGGCCGGCCCUGACACUGAGACGCGAAGGCGUGGGGAGCGAACGGG